GUUACCUGGUUGAUUCUGCCAUA
rnacentral:rRNA from 1 species